GAGUUUGUUUUAUUUUGAGUUUUCUUUGUAUUAUUUUGCUUUUGAAAAUUUUUGAUGUACCUUUGAUGUCACCAAAACUUUGGUUUGUUAGUUGUUUUGAUAAUUGCAUGAAUACUCUUUGAGAUUUAAGUUUGUUUUUUGUUUAAUUGUUCUUACUCUUAAGUCAAGCUUAAAAUAACCAAGAAAUGUUCGCAAAGAGAGAAGCAUAGGAU
rnacentral:lncRNA from 1 species